UCAGAGCAAUUGGCUUACAGCGAUUGACUCAUAAUCGAUUGGUCACAGGUUCAAGUCCUGUUGG
rnacentral:tRNA from 1 species